GUGAAUCAUCGAAUUUUUGAACGCAAAUUGCACUCUCCUCGGAGAGUAAGCCUGUGUGAGGGUCAGCAUAUAAAAAAUCGACAUCGGUGCGGUUUCACGGAGACGUUCGUCGGAAAUUGGGUAAUCUUAAAUCGUCGGGGUGUAAGCGACUUAAAAUUUUCUUUUUGAUUGCAUGAACGUGUUUCGAAGAAUUAUUUCUUAACAC
rnacentral:misc_RNA from 1 species